rnacentral:lncRNA from 1 species
CUGUUAUGUUCUCUUCAGACAUUCGCCUGAAGAAGUAUGCUCGGGCAUACGAAAGCUUGUGAAAAAUAAACGCCAGUUACUCUUAAAGGGGCCACAAGGCAUCUGGUUUCUCUUCCUACAACAGACUAACACAGUGGCCGACUCAAUUACUGUAACGGUCCCCCAGUCCCUUGUGUGCUGUUAAAUGUAGCCUGAUGAGAAAUACGAUUGCUCUUCUUUUAAUCAACUUCUUUGUAUGUGUGUCCUUGUGUUUUGAGUGGCUCUUCUCUGCCUUAGCUUGAAACAAAAAUUCAUACUCAGAGUAAUGUAUUUUUUUCAAUCUGAAGUGCCUGAAGUACCAAAGAAAGUUGUUCCAGAAGAGAAAGUGCCCGUUCCGAUACCUAAAAAAGUGGAAGCUCCUCCUGCUAAAGUGCCAGCCGUGCCGAAAAAACCUGUUCCAGAAGAAAAAGUACCUGCUGCAGUUCCUGAAAAGAUAAAGCCCCCUCCUCCCAAAGGUACCAGAUACAGUGCUUUUCAAGUGUAAAUUACUUGUCUGUGUAAGCACUUUAUAUGUGCAUAAUAUACAAAUAUGUGUCAGAUAGUAUAAAGUGACAUAUUAACCAUGCUAAAAGAACGAGUGAAUGUGUUGGCAGCCGUAACGCCCUAGGCUUUGAUAGGAUUUGUCAUCUUGUCUGUCAAGUUCUGUUCUUUCUCUUUGUGAUGUCGUGUACACCCAAAGUGACCUUCUUAAUAUCUUUGAAGUGCCUGAGGUACCCAAGAAAAUUGUGACAGAAGCAAAAGUGCCUCUCGCGGUGCCUAAAAAACCAGAACCUCCACCAGCUAAAGGUAAAGCAGUCCAUCAGAUCAGCGUUACUUCCCUUGUCUUUCUUUGAAUAACUUGUAUCGCUGUCCUUGUGUUUUGAAAUAUAGCUGUCUUUUAUGUGGUGCUUGUGCAUGUAAAUACAGUAAUAUGUAGCUGCUCCUUGAACUGUCGGCUCUCUGUAUUAUGUAUGGCCUUUUUGUUUGUGGCAAUGCACUCACUUUCUUCGCAUUCCAUCUUUGAAGUGCCAGAGGUACGAAAGGAGCCUCUCCCAGAAGAAAAAGUCCCCAUCUUCGUGCCUGAAGAAGAGGAACCAGUACCAGCCAAAGGUACACCAGCACACAAUUCAUCUUAUUUUUUUAAAAAAAAAACUCUUUUAAAAUGAAGGCAGAAACAACAUCUUUAUUCUUUGCUUCAUAAUCCAGGCAGUUUAAUUUUCUGCACGGUCACUCAGGAGUAAAACCCUCCAAAUUCAAGACAACUUAUUACAAGUGGCCGAAGGAUCACACAGUUUAAUUUUGAUUGGAACCUGGAUCUU